UUCAUGUAUCUCCCUGCGUCAAAACUGGUUUCGGUAGGUUCAGAUGUUGUUUUCUUCCCUCACAGUCUUCAGACGUUGCUUUGAUGUAUCACCUAGAACAGAGUUUCUUCCUUCAAUGUUCACGUGACCGAUUUGAUGUAUCCCUUAAUUAUCGCUCCAUAUAACUCCCUCUUUGUGGUUUGAUUUCUCUACCAUCUCUUCAAAACCCUAAAGAUUUCUCUGAGCUGAAGAUUUUUCAGAUGUGAUUUUGAUUCCUCCGUUGAUUCCAACGAGUGGCCACAAUGUAGCCCACUUUAAAGAUCAAGAUACAGGCCUAUGGUGGGAGUUUGAUGACGAAAUUGUCUCAGAUAUGAGAUUGCGUAUUGUGUUGGUUUGUACACGCUCCUAAUGAGCAUUUCAAUUACAGAUAUUUAAUUUGAGUAUGUUGUUUGUCGUUUGCCAACAGGACUUGAUUAUGAAUACAAAGCCAUCUAUCUGUUCAAACGAGAGCAAGUAGCAACAUA